UACGAAGGGGGCUAGCGUUGCUCGGAAUCACUGGGCGUAAAGCGCACGUAGGCGGCUUUCUAAGUCAGGGGUGAAAUCCUGGAGCUCAACUCCAGAACUGCCUUUGAUACUGGAGAGCUUGAGUCCGGAAGAGGUGAGUGGAACUCCGAGUGUAGAGGUGAAAUUCGUAGAUAUCGGGAGGAACACCAGUGGCGAAGGCGGCGACCUGGACAGAUAGUUGACGCUGAGGUGCGAAAGCGUGGGGAGCAAACAGG
rnacentral:rRNA from 1 species